rnacentral:rRNA from 1 species
GAUGAACGCUGGCGGCGUGCCUAAUACAUGCAAGUCGAACGCAGUGGGGACGGGUGAGUAACACGUGGGUAACCUCCCAUCAGAGGGGAUAACACUUGGAAACAGGUGCUAAACCGAUACUGAUGGAUGGACCCGCGGUGCAUUAGCUAGUUGGUGAGGUAACGGCCCACCAAGGCCAUGAUGCAUAGCCGGCCUGAGAGGUGGAUCGGCCACACUGGGACUGAGACACGGCCCAGACUCCUACGGGAGGCAGCAGUAGGGAAUCUUCGGCAAUGGACGAAAGUCUGACCGAGCAACGCCGCGUGAGUGAAGAAGGUUUUCGGAUCGUAAAGCUCUUUUGGUAGGGAAGCGUUACCUAAUCAGAAAGCCACGGCUAACUACGUGCCAGCAGCCGCGGUAAUAC